rnacentral:rRNA from 1 species
CCUAAUGACCAUACUACCCUGAAUGCAUCUGAUCUAGUCUGAUCUCAGAAAGUAAGCAGGGUCAGGCCUGGUUUGUACUUGGAUAGGUAUACUGGGUUCUGUAGGCUUGGAAACCUUGGUGACAUUGUAG